rnacentral:rRNA from 1 species
AAUGAACGCUAGCGGGAUGCUUUACACAUGCAAGUCGAACGAGUGGCGGACGGGUGAGUAAUAUAUCGGAAAGUGCCCAGUCGCGGGGGAUAACUACUCGAAAGAGUGGCUUAUACCGCAUACUAUUUGAGUGGCCGAUAUCGGAUUAGCAAGUUGGUGGGGUAAAGGCUCACCAAGGCAACGAUCCGUAGCUGGUUUGAGAGGACGACCGGCCACACGGGAACUGGAACACGGCCCAGACUCCUACGGAAGGCAGCAGUGGGGAAUUUUGGACAAUGGGGGAAACCCGAAUCAAGAAAGCCCGCGUGGAUGAGAGGGCCUUCGGUUUGUAAAGUACUUUUAGCAAAGAAGCGGUAUCGGCAGAGUAAGCACCGGCUAACUACGUGCCAGCAGCCGCGGUAAUUC